GGCUGGCAGUGAAGGAGGUUUAUCUACACCCUCGCUGCCACAAACGCACGAGUCAUGUGUUGUGCUGUGAUGUCAUGAGGUGAUGGGAACCUUCAACUCCGUAAUAAUCUCACGGGACCGCUGUUGGAUGUGCAGCCCCGCGCCGGCUGCUGUGGCGUGGCGUAGCGCACAACUGUCCGGAAAGGACAUCCUCUCUGGCUCUUGGAAACCACCCAGCGCUGACCCUGUUGGGCCAGAAAGGAAGAGGACACGGGACAAGAUACAGAAAGGAGACUCAUUUACCGGGGCCUGCUUCACCCUGGGGCUGGCACGAACACAUCCUGGCCGCCCGCUCCGGGCCUUGGAAGUUUCCAGCCGCAAAGGAUACACUAGAAACACAGGAACAACCCCAGGGCCCGGGAACAGCAGACAAGGUGUGGUAACACAGCUUCUUCCACGGAGGAGGUAUGGGACAGCGACAGAGUUAAAAUGCACAGACGAGUGCCCAGUGCCGUGUAAACGGUUUGUCAUACUGCGCAUGCUCAAUAUAGAUGCAAUUUUUUUCCCCCAAAUAUUUUCUAUCCUUAGUUGAAUUCAAGGAUUCGGUACCCGCUGAUACAAAGGGCUGACUAUAAUGGACCUCUUGGCCUCUCUUGGCACGCCUCUUGGCCUUGCCCUCCUGCCCACAAGGUGGGCUUCUCCCAGAACAGUCUAGCCUGGGCCGAGGGGUGGGGAGAAACUGGCACCAUUUGCGUUUUUCCUACAGGGAAGCGGCACAGGAGCCAAGCCCCCGGCUGCUGUGGGAGGCUCCUCCUCCCUCUGCCCCUCUCGGCCAAUCUCAUUUCUUUCUGGGAGCUCCUGUUUUCAAGCCGGCAAGCUAGAGCCUGGGUCCCUAAAGACAACACAACCUAGGUAACUCACUUCCUACCCUGAGAGGAGCCGGGCCGCAGUUCUGUAUGCACACCCUCCUGGCACCUCUCUUUCUCAUCCCUGCUCAGUACUGCAGGAAGUCUUCCCGGAUUACAUCCACUUCCUGCCAAGUGGCGUGGCCCCGCCCAAAAGUGACUUUCCAUUUACUGCUGUUGUCUGUGAGUGUGUCAAAUCUGACUCAUGAAACUCAGACUCCCCUAUUAGAUGGACCCGUCCUGAUCCUUCGAGUGAUGUCCCCUC
rnacentral:lncRNA from 1 species